GCCUCCAUAGCUCAGCCGGUUAGAGCGACGGAUUCAUAGCCCGUAGGUCGCCUGUUCAAGUCAGGCUGGAGGCA
rnacentral:tRNA from 2 species